GUGAAUCAUCGAAUCUUUGAACGCAAAUUGCACUUUCUGGUAUUCCGGAAAGUAUGCCUGUUUGAGGGUCAGUUAAAUAAAAAUCGGUGUUGUUGCUGCUUUUCGUGGUGACGCGUCGGAAUUGAGUUGUCUUACCUUCGGUUAAGUGACUUAAAAUUUUGCAUGAUUUUCGAACGUAUUUAAAUUUCUUCGUUCGGUUUAGAUUUUGAAUUCUUUAUUUAGUUCGGUUAUUCUCCUGAUUCGCACCUUUUAUUUUUCAUUUAAUGACCUUAAAUCAGGUAAGGAUA
rnacentral:misc_RNA from 1 species